CUUCUCCGCAGGGCUGCUCUCCACCAGUUCUUCUCCAGUCUGUGCUCAUGGCUGGGACUGCCCCGACCCAAGUGCAGCACCUUGCACUUGGCCUUGUUGAACCUCAUUAGAUUCUCAUAUGCCCACUUUUUGAGACUGUUCACGUCACUCUGGAUGGUCUCCCUUCAUUUCAUUGUGCCAGCUGUUCCACCCAGCUUGGUGUCAUCAGCAAACUACUGAGGGUGCACUCAAUCCCACCAUCUAUAUCACUGAUAAAGAUGAUGAAGAGCACAGGUCCAAGACAGAUGACUGCGAAACCACUCAUUACUGACCCCCAGCUGUGUAUAGAACCAUUGACCACAACCUUCUGGUUAUGAUCUUCCAGCUAAUAUUUGGUGGAUAAACCAAAUAUUCUGACCUUCAAAUCCAUCUCUCUGCAGCUUAGAUAUAAGGAUAUGAUGAAGGAUCAUGUCAAAGGCCUUGCACAAGUUCAGGUAGAUGACAUCAGUUGCCCCCCCUUUGUCCACUGAUGCUGUGUCACAGAAGGCCAUGAGCUGAUGGCGCAUGGGCAUCCAAAAUUUACUGCAGUUUGAACUUAGGGUGGGGUUGCUCCUGGACCAUAGUACUCAGUCUAUGGCUACAUAGACUGCGUUGCUUCUAUUUGGGAUUUCACUUACCAGGUUGGGUCCAUAGUGUCUCCAUGGCUUAAGGUGAGGCCAGAAUCAAGGUAGUCUGACCAGCUGUGCUGGUGUGAUGGGUGACUGCAUUGGAACCCCUGAGAACUCUAUGGGUCUUAGCAGACUUGGGAGGGAAUCUAGAGGUUAUGCUAUGUCAGCAGUGGACAGGGAAAUCAUAGAAUCAUAGAAUACCCUGAGUUGGAAGGGACCAGCAAGGAUCAUGGAGUCUAAAGAUGAUAGCAAAAAAAGCUGUGUUAGAAAUUAAAUUUCAGGUUUUCUUGAAUUAAUGCAAUUACCAAUGAGACUUUUAUGAAAGAUGUAUAGAAAGUGAAAGGAUGAGAGUAACUCAACGGCAGAGAGACUCUGGGGAACAGAGUGAUGAAUGAUAUUAUCAAUUUAGCAUGAAUUUCAGUAGGCAGGCUGAUAGUGCUGAGGGAAGUACAAACUCCUCUCUUGAACCACAUCUGCUUGUCCUGUGCCACCUUCAGCUGGGUCCUUACCAGAAAUACAUUAUGCAGAUGCCACAGGUGUUGGAAAAAAACCUGUCCCCUGAAGUCCCCAAAUGUCACCAAAGCAGUCACCCAAACCAGAGCAGAGCCUGUGAGCCCAGUUCAUCCAUCUCUGCAGCUAUGGCCACAAUUACCACGUCAUGCUGUGAUCAGACUUCUCUGUGUGCCUCCCACACUGUGACAUUCUCCAGCAUGGGAGGAUUUGAAUGCUCCCACUGAAACAAGGUGAGGAAACCAAAGCUGCUGUGUAGAUCUGCAUAACCAAUGUGCAGCAGAAAUCCCCAUCCACAGUCUUCCCAGCACAAUUGCUCUUGGUUGCCUUUGACCUCUCAGGCACAAUCCUCCAAGGACACCUGCAAAAUAACUUUGAAAGAGAUAAUUACAGCUUUUAGCAGCAGGAUUUACAACUCGUUUCUCUGCUGAACCCCAGGGAUGCACUCAUAUAUCUGCUCAGGCCCUCUGCUGAAUGCCACAGCAUCCAACACGUAGCAUUCAAUUCUCUCCAUCCUCUAACUCUGAAAGAUGCAGUCCUGGCUGUUCUGAUGUGUCCCUCUGCUCUCCAGGAACCACCUCAUAUUCCCCUCAAAUUAGUCUGUUAACAAACUAAGAACCUUUGCUCCCAAAGUAUCAUUCUCCCCCCUACCAGCUGUACCAUGGGAGCUGUAAGAUAAUUCUUUAGGAAAAGAUAUGAAUUCUCAUCCAACUGCUCCAGCAGCCCUUGGGGUAUCAGCACAGUGUCUGUCCCCUGCCUCCAAUGGUGCAAAAGACACAGAAUGAUGUGAAGCCUUUGCUGGUGUGGGCAGGGAAGGGUGUCCCUGCUUUGGCCACAUUUUUGGUUUUAUCUUCCCCUCAUUAAAAAUGAGCUUCCAGAGGAAGAGCAUACAAUGGCAGGAGAUGGCAGCCAAACUGAUUUCUGAGGCAAUUCCUGUUGAUUCCUUACAGGAUUUAGGAUGCAGGACCCUCUGGAAGUCCCCAUGCCAACUUCCUGCUCAAAGCUCAAAGCCUGAUGUUGGAAGACCCCCAGGUCUCUGCCACAUCAGCUCUCCUCCAGCAGAGCUGCCUAUGGCAGCGCAGAUCCAUUUAUCUUCUCCAGGAAGUUUCCCCCAAAAGGAGCCCAGGGACCCUGCAGGUGAGCACUGGAAAGAUGGAGACACCUCAGAUUCCUGGAGAUAAAAGCUGCCAUUAAAAAGACAUAAACAAAGGGCAUCGUGAGCAUUUUCCCACAUCUCUGAACUGGAAAGAAGGCAGAAAUAACCUUUACACAAUCCCAUUAGCAUUUCCAGUGAAAACAACAGCAUUAUAGGAGGGAGAACAAUGUAUUUUCUUAUCAUCCAGAAAGGCCAAAGGUAUUUAUCUGAUUUAAUAUUUUAUACUUGAUAUUAAGCAACAGAAAGGAUGUGACAGGCAGGCAGGAGACAGAUGUGGUGAUGUGGCAGAAACUGCUCUCUGCUUUUCCAGCAGUGUGAUGUCCAGGUCAGACCACAGCUGCUCUUCUCUGCAAAGGCAGGCUCCUCCAUGCUCACCAUGCUACUACUGAGUGCUGUUCCAGUGCCACAUCUCUGCAGGAGACAAUGCUCCAACCAUUGCAGUCCAAAGGGAGGAAAUGCCUUCAGCCUGCCUGUGGUCAUCUGUCCUCCCCUUGGAGGGCUGAUGGGCGCCAGCCCAACUUCAGUGUCCUCCAUGGUGGGAAGGAGUGAGACAAAAUGGAGACAAGAUGCUGUGGAUACAUGUAGAUGAGCAAGAAAAGAGGCAGGAGGCUCAAAAUUAGGUGGUGACACCCAGUGGAAAACAAGGCAGCCAGCACGCAUGUCAACAUUCAUUGGUACCCCACUAGCGUGGCAUAAAACCCAGAGGAGCAGCAAGUCUGGGCCAGAACACCUUCUCCAUGUCUAUCUACUGCUCAGUCUCAUGGUCAUUGUCAGGUUGGGAUUGAUGGGACUUGUAGCUCUACCUGGCAGGACCCACUUUGCUGAGUAUCAGUCUUCCAGCAAAGUCACUGCAGUGGGUGCCAGGUAUACUCACGUAUGAGAUCUACAACUACUUGCGUAAGUACCUCAUGUUUUUUAUUUCCAUUAAAGAAUGGAAAUUAGGUCAUUCUUUGCUGAAACAUUCUGGAAAGUCACUGCUGAAAUCUCUCACUUGCUUUUUCCAUCUGUUUAUUUCUACCACUUAAUAACACGUCUGUCUCAUCAACCAUUCUUGACAGCGUGGCAAGAAAAUCCAACUUGGUGAAGACAGCUUUAUCAAAGAGACAUUUGCUCAUCAUCACUAUGUGACACCACAUCAGUGCUUCUCACAUAUACGCAGUCUGGCCUGUAAUUUCAAAGAGUGCCUUCCAUUUCUUUUAGGAGGUGAUAUGACCAAGACAUUUGAAGUUGUUGAUUAUUAUGCAAAAGGUUAUCCAAAUUGCGAAGAUAAGAAGCAACUUCAAGCAUUUCAAGGAGUCUCAUUUGUUUGGCGAUAUGUUCUCCUCAGUGUUACAUGAUGUCAUUGGCCCAAUUUCAAGUGAUUAGUAACAGCAGCAAAGCAGUCACUGAAAUAAUCUUUGAUAGAAGAGAGAACUCUGCAACCAUAUGAAGUGGCUAUCAGUCAUUUUCUUGGCGUUAACAAAGUCUGAGCCUGCCAGCUUCACCACACCACCACUCCUACUCCUAUCUUUGCUUCCCAAAGAUCUAUCCAGGCAGUCAGGAGAAAGGGAGCUUGACAAAGCACAGCUUGACUCUUCUAAUCUGAGCAAUCUUACGCUUAUUGCCUUCAUAUUGGAUGACCUCACUCACUCUUUUUACUUAAACCCACUCUCCUGGCUUCAUUACUGAACAGUCUUCUUGGGGAAGCGUGGAACAACUGAAUCUGUACAAAAGAAGUUUAAAACCAGUUGAGCUGAAGCUAUGUCCUUGUACCAAACCUUGGUAUCUGGGCAAACAGAUGUAGUAGCUCUUUGAGGGCAAGAGCAAAGCACUGGCAGACCUGAAGAAGCUGCCAACAAAAUUCAGCUCCCAGUGUAGGCAAAAAUAGGUAGACUGGAAGGAUCUUCAGAUUGCUGAGGCUGAUUGCUAUCAGAACUGGUGGCAGGGCUACUGUAGACCGUCCCAGGAUGCAGCGAAACUUGGCUUUUGCAAUUCAGCUUUGCAAAUGGUUGCUGCCUCAGCAGAAACACAAGGUCAAUUGAGGUACACAGAAAUGUGGUGGAAGAGCUGGGCUUGGGUCUCCUCGAAGAUUCAGAAAUGCUGCUGAGAGGGACAGGUCCUAUUUGGCAGCUGGGAACAGGAAGGAGACCUCCUAAGCCUGGUCCAGCCACCCAAGGGCCCCCUCUUUACACUGUGGAUAGUUCACAAUGAAUGCUGGCAUUGUUUUAUCUAUACAUUUCACUGGACAUUAUUUUAGCCUAGUUAACACCAUUUGAUCCACCUUCUAAAUCCUCACUUCAGUACACAGUCACUUAAAAGAAACAAUCCUCAGAAGUAAAAACCCAGAAUCUAGAGUUCAAAGCAUGAAGAGCACUAGAGCAAUAUUAAAUCACACGCUGGCAAUUAGGAGGAAAAACAAAAACUAUUAACUUAGAGACACAUGAAACUAUGCAUCCAAAAACACCAGUAGUGUUUUAUUUAGAAAAAAUAAAGUCUUCCUAUGAAUUAGAUUACUAAUUACAGGAGAUGACACUUGCUAUGAUUAUAAGAGCCAGGGACACAUUUUGCCCCAGUGGUACAGAAGGGUGUGUAUAAUCCUUCCCUUUGAGUACCCUACUCCUCCCAAAUGCCUAAACAGCAAUUCCCACUGACCUGUCUUAAGUUUCUGCUGGUGUUGACUUAAUCUUCAUUUCUCCCUUCAAUUAGUUUAUUAUUUUCUGGUUUGGUUUCUCUAUCAGUCCAUCUUAUUUAAACUACAUCCUGUGUUGUUAUUAUUAUUAUUAUUAUUAUUAUUAUUGGAGCUUUACAUUUUUUCCUAGGAGACUUUUUCAACUUCAGCCAGAUGGGGCCUCUCUUCUUUCUCUUGGCUCUACUCACUGCAAGAAUAAAAGCCUCCUCUGUUCUCUUUGGACUGGCUUCCAGCAUUUGUAGGAUGGUUUAUCUGGAAGGAGCACUUCAUAUUUUUCCAUGCUGCAACAGACAGUCCCCACCGUGGACAUACACUGCUGAAGAAGAACCAAAACUUCCAAAACAUUCACUCCAUCUCUCUUUUAGAGCUCAGGAACUUUUUCCCCAUCCCAUCAACCUUGACUUCUCAAGGAGUCUUUGACCUCCAAGAUGGAGGAUGGAGAUCCAACACCUCAGUGGGGUCACUGUCCAACUCUGCACUGUUGGAUUGCCCUCCCCUGCAGAGCUCUGCCUAAGACACUACUCAACAGCAAUCACGCUGGCCCUCCUCACCCAUGGCUCUCCCCGGACAGCUGGUUUUCUACAGAAGGUAGUGCUUCAAGUUGCCUGCAGUGAGCACACACCAAGGCAGGCACUUUGGAAAAAAAUAGUUGCACUAAUGAUGAUUUUUUUUUGAGGUUUUUCCCUCCUUCUUGGUCUUUUCCAUCCCCUACACAUAGGGGAAUCUGUGUCAGAGGAACUCAAGACCACAUAGGAUCUAACUCCAUGUUAUGCCCCUGUGUAAUAGACUAGAAGGGGCAUGCUUUUCUGAGCAAACCAUUUUCUUGCCCCGAGUAUAAAUACAUUCAGUAGAAUACAUAAACACGUAAUUUAAAACCUGCUUUGACACAGGCAGAACUUGCAAGGAAGGAAAACUCUAGUGCAA